rnacentral:rRNA from 1 species
AGCGAACGCUGGCGGCAGGCUUAACACAUGCAAGUCGAGCGCCCGGAGCAAUCCGGGAGCGGCAGACGGGAGAGUAACACGUGGGAACGUACCCUUUGGUUCGGAAUAAUCCAGGGAAACUUGGACUAAUACCGGAUAAGCCCUUACGGGGAAAGAUUUAUCGCCAAAGGAUCGGCCCGCGUCUGAUUAGCUAGUUGGUGAGGUAACGGCUCACCAAGGCGACGAUCAGUAGCUGGUCUGAGAGGAUGAUCAGCCUCACUGGGACUGAGACACGGCCCAGACUCCUACGGGAGGCAGCAGUGGGGAAUAUUGGACAAUGGGCGCAAGCCUGAUCCAGCCAUGCCGCGUGGGUGAUGAAGGCCUUAGGGUUGUAAAGCCCUUUCGGCGGGGAAGAUAAUGACGGUACCCGCAGAAGAAGCCCCGGCUAACUUCGUGCCAGCCGCCGCGGUAAU